UACUGGGUGUCCACACACCCACCCUUAACCUGUUUUUGUUCCUGCCAGCAGUACCGGAUCUGACAGCUGGAAGCAGAGACCACCUGGGGAUUUGGGACUUGGUGGCUUCAGUAUACUGGAGGUCUUCGUUGGCGGCGGAACCUGGUGGGCCCCAGCUCUUCUCUGGAUAGGCGUCUCCUACCCUUGGGCCUGCCCACACGUCAACUGUUUUGUUAUGUGUCGGACGCAGCUCGGAGAACCGACCA